rnacentral:lncRNA from 1 species
CUGGUGUUUCAGUUUGCACCUCCGGUAUUUUGGCCUGCAUCCUUGGUGUUUCAGCCUGCACCCCUGGUAUUCUAGCAGGCAUGUUUAGUGUUUUGGCUAGCACAUUGGUGCUUCAACCUACAUCAUCAGUGUUUCAGCCUGCAUCUUGGUGUUUCGCGUUGCUUCUCUAGUACUUCAUCUAAGAUUAGCAUCUUUCUAGUAGUUUUCAACCUACAGGCCAUGUACUUCGAUCUACUGAGUACAACUUCAGCUUGCAGGCCGAGUGUAACUUGGCUUGUUCGCUAACUACAACUUCAGCUACUAGCCAAGUACUUUAGCCUAUUGACCAAGUUCCCAUUCUGCGACUUGGUACUUAAUCAAAGGUUAACAUCUUUCUAGAACUUUUAUUCAUCCUGCACAAGAUGUCUCUUCUGAAGACGUAUUACUGCCCAAUCUAUAUCGGAUGACCUUCCGAGCCUCCUUGUCAAUUGGUCUAAGAAGACAGUCAUUGGCCUGAAUGUGAUGUAAACACCUGAUCUAUUGAGUUUGUCGAGCCAAGUCGGCUACCAACACCUCAAGUUCUGUUCUAUAGAACUGAGCAUAGAACUGAUUCUCCAACUCUUGCCAUGUGCAACAAAUUGGCAUACCACAUAAAAGCCAAUCUAGUCAGCAAGUAGGCGAAGAGCUUAAGCUUGAGGAAGUAGUAAUUUUACCUUGCCACACUAUAUGAAAAAUUAUCCCAUGUGGUCUACAGUGGAUAGAUUAUCGCCUCCGAAAAACCUUGUAUCCUCUUCAAAACUUAUAAGCUUGAUCAUACCAUUUUGGAUUAGGCUUUCUAUAAGUUGCCCUCACUACAGGCCUAUGGUCCUGUCUAAUAGAUCCCUAAUGAGAUCGGUCAAGUGGGCUUAAUUUUACAGGAAAUUGCCUCAGUCUGGAACAUUAACGUGGUGCUGAAUUGGUUGAAUCUAUUAGCCUGGAGCUGGUUAAUAUAAUGGAUUCUGAUGUAAAUUAUCAGUUCCAUGCUCGACUUGAGGCUGCUCCCCUACUGCAAAUUUUGCAUAUACAUCUGAUUUGGAGGUGGUAGUACCUAUUACGAUUGAUAUGCACCAACCCUUGGAUUUUGAGGGAUGUACCCCAUGUACAGAAUAUAAUAUUGCCUCCUAGCCAUUUUAGGUGGUGCUCAACUAACCCCUGGAAUGGGAAUUGAUCCUCCCGUAAUAACUCUUGUAUUAGCAGUAUUCCUCUUCCCACUUAAGCUCAUAUCUACAUGCCUAUUGUUCCACCUAUGCUUCAAGGUAAGCCUGUUAUUAGCUAAGGCAUCAACAAAGAUUGGCUCAGCCUGACCUGUAAUAUUCGUACUCAUUGAUGGAUCAUCUUGGGCAUCUUGAUCUUUGAAAAUUGAAGAUUCACUAGUGCAGUAUUUAACCUUCCCCUCCUCAUAAGACAUGUAUUUUUGAAGGUCAUGUUUCUCCAAUAUAUUGACACUCCCAUACUAAAAAUGAGUAUUUAUGGGCUGACCAAUUUCUAGAUGGCUGGUAUUGGAUGGAUUUAUUGUAGGAUUAGGUUGUGGAUGCUAUGGUGCGAGAUAGUGAUUAGACAAUAUAGUAACAAGUUUCUCAACUUGCUUUAUGAUCGCCACCAAAAAAGUCUCUUGUUGCUCAACAAUGGCCUGAACACCAUGACC